AUUGAACGCUGGCGGCACGCCUAACACAUGCAAGUCGAGCGGCAGCGAGACUAGUAGCAAUACUAGUUGUCGGCGAGCGGCGGACGGGUGAGUAACACGUAAGAAUCUGCCCUUAAGCGGGGGAUAACCAAGGGAAACUUUGGCUAAUACCGCAUAAUCUCGAGAGAGCAAAGCUGCCCGCAAGGGUGGCACUUGAGGAGGAGCCUGCGUCCGAUUAGCUAGUUGGUGGGGUAAUGGCCUACCAAGGCGAUGAUCGGUAACUGGUCUGAGAGGACGACCAGUCACACUGGGACUGAGACACGGCCCAGACUCCUACGGGAGGCAGCAGUGGGGAAUAUUGGACAAUGGGGGCAACCCUGAUCCAGCGAUGCCGCGUGAGUGAAGAAGGCCUUCGGGUCGUAAAGCUCUUUAGGUUGGGAAGAAGGGUAUUGGCUGAAUAAUCCAGUACUUUGACGGUACCGACAGAAUAAGCACCGGCAAACUCUGUGCCAGCAGCCGCGGUAACAC
rnacentral:rRNA from 1 species